AGGGCCAUACUCGCCUUUUUCUCCCCAAGUGGGCCGGGUGAUCAUCAUUACUAUCUACAAUACCUCACUGACAAUGCAUGGCCAUGGUAAACCGGACCUGGGCUUCACCCUAGCUGGGAAGAAUGUAAAGCUCGACUGGUUGGCAACAGAAGACAUGUGAGCAUCUAGAGAUUAAUCGGAUGCAUACUCGUGUGGCUCCCGCCCCAUGUGCACGUACGAUCGAAGUGGAGGAGAGGGAACCAAAGCUAGAAGAUCUACUCUUCUAGGAACAAAGUGCAAAAGAGGCUUGGGAGGGAGAGACAAAGCAUAUCAAAGGCAGAUAGUAAUGGAUAGCGGGAAAUUUGCUGUGAAUGAUAUGCUUGCACUUUGAUAAAGCAUGGUGUGCACCAGGAGCAUGAUAUCAAGGUGCGUACAAGUGUGCGUGCGUGGUACAGAAAGAGAUGGAUAGCGAGAUGGCUAGAUAGGCUUUAUCAAAGGUGGGUAGGACAGGAGCAUGCAAGCGAGUAGUUAGCUUGCCUGCUAGCCUAAAGGGCUCGCAUCUAUAUGCAUGUGUGCCCAUCGAUCGCUUCCUUCUGGUGCACAGCACACACGAUCCAGUUUCAAGAGUGUACUGUAUGAUGAAUCGAUCACUCUCUCUCUGCUAGCUAUAUAUCUCUUAGCUAGCUAGCUGAUAGGUUGGAAUUGAUACCUUCCUGGUCUGGAUAUCGAUCAUUGGUGCAAAUAUAUUUUCUUGGUCUGAA